AUUGAACGCUGGCGGCAUGCCUUACACACGCAAGUCGAACGGCAGCACGGGAGCUUGCUCCUGGUGGCGAGUGGCGAACGGGUGAGUAAUACAUCGGAACGUACCCAGGAGUGGGGGAUAACGUAGCGAAAGUUACGCUAAUACCGCAUAUUCUGUGAGCAGGAAAGCGGGGGAUCGCAAGACCUCGCGCUCUUGGAGCGGCCGAUGUCGGAUUAGCUAGUUGGUGAGGGAAAAGCUCACCAAGGCGACGAUCCGUAGCAGGUCUGAGAGGAUGAUCUGCAACACUGGGACUGAGACACGGCCCAGACUCCUACGGGAGGCAGCAGUGGGGAAUUUUGGACAAUGGGGGCAACCCUGAUCCAGCCAUGCCGCGUGAGUGAAGAAGGCCUUCGGGUUGUAAAGCUCUUUCGGCGGGGAAGAAAUGGCAACGGCUAAUAUCCGUUGUUGAUGACGGUACCCGCAUAAGAAGCACCGGCUAACUACGUGCCAGCCGCCGCCGUAA
rnacentral:rRNA from 1 species